GAUGAACGCUGGCGGCGUGCCUAAUACAUGCAAGUCGAGCGAACGGGCUAGAAGCUUGCUUCUCUGAUGUUAGCGGCGGACGGGUGAGUAACACGUGGAUAACCUACCUAUAAGACUGGGAUAACUUCGGGAAACCGUAGCUAAUACCGGAUAAUAUUUUGAACCGCAUGGUUCAAAAGUGAAAGACGGUCUUGCUGUCACUUAUAGAUGGAUCCGCGCUGCAUUAGCUAGUUGGUAAGGUAACGGCUUACCAAGGCAACGAUGCGUAGCCGACCUGAGAGGGUGAUCGGCCACACUGGAACUGAGACACGGUCCAGACUCCUACGGGAGGCAGCAGUAGGGAAUCUUCCGCAAUGGGCGAAAGCCUGACGGAGCAACGCCGCGUGAGUGAUGAAGGUCUUCGGAUCGUAAAACUCUGUUAUUAGGGAAGAACAUAUGUGUAAGUAACUGUGCACAUCUUGACGGUACCUAAUCAGAAAGCCACGGCUAACUACGUG
rnacentral:rRNA from 1 species